rnacentral:piRNA from 1 species
AGGCAUUGCGCUGAGCUCUGAGG